rnacentral:rRNA from 1 species
CUAAAAGAUGGCGACCGGCGCACGGGUGAGUAACACGUAUCCAACCUGCCGAUAACUCGGGGAUAGCCUUUCGAAAGAAAGAUUAAUAUCCGAUGGUAUAUUUCUCCGCAUGGUGAGAAUAUUAAAGAAUUUCGGUUAUCGAUGGGGAUGCGUUCCAUUAGUUUGUUGGCGGGGUAACGGCCCACCAAGACCACGAUGGAUAGGGGUUCUGAGAGGAAGGUCCCCCACAUUGGAACUGAGACACGGUCCAA